AUUGAACGCUGGCGGCAGGCCUAACACAUGCAAGUCGAACGAGUGGCGGACGGGUGAGUAAUGUCUGGGAAACUGCCUGAUGGAGGGGGAUAACUACUGGAAACGGUAGCUAAUACCGCAUACCAUCGGAUGUGCCCAGAUGGGAUUAGCUAGUAGGUGGGGUAAAGGCUCACCUAGGCGACGAUCCCUAGCUGGUCUGAGAGGAUGACCAGCCACAGAGGAACGGAGACACCGGCCAGACUCCUAAGGGAGGCAGGAGGGGGGAAUAUUGCAGAAUGGGCGCAAGCCUGAUGCAGCCAGGCGGCGUGUAGGAAGAAGGCCUUCGGGUUGUAAAGUACUUUCAGCGGGGAGGCGUUACCCGCAGAAGAAGCACCGGCUAACUCCGUGCCAGCCGCGGUAAUUC
rnacentral:rRNA from 1 species